rnacentral:lncRNA from 10 species
GAUUACAGCUGUGAGCCAUCGUGCCUGGCCAGAAGAUUGUUUAAAUAACAGACCUUCCCCCAAAAUCAUCUGCUUUUAUAAAGUUAAUGGAAGGCCAUCAGGCUAGGGGGCAGAGAGGAGACUGAUUCUGCUAAGGUGUAGACAUAGAUUGCCAACUAUUCCUGCAGAUAAUACUACUAUUGCCGAUUGGCCUUUUGAGAUAUCUUUUCAGUUUUUUUUUCACGUCUAACACUACCUGGACCCUCCAACCCUGCUCCUGUGGCCCCACCCAGAAUUUAUUCAGUACAAGAGGACAGCUUUGACCCCCUUUGAUUUCAUCUCCACCCCAACCAAUCAGCACCAAGCCUAGCGACCUCCACCCCUUCACCCAAACUGCCUAUGCAAAACCCCUAAUUUAGAAGCUUUAGGGAGAAUUAUUGCAGUACUAACUCCAUCUUCUGUGUGGUGUGGCUGGCCUGAUGUCUAAUUAAACUCUUUCUUUACUGCAAUGCCAUGGUCUGUCUUUGUGCAGGAGGCAGGAGGAACCCUUUGGGCAGUUACAUUAGUAUUUCUUAUAAGAUAGGAUCACU